rnacentral:lncRNA from 1 species
GAAAAGUUCGAGAAAAGGGACUAUUGAUUUAAGUCAAACUCGCACCUUUGUCACAGAAUCCGCCAUACAUGUCUAGAAGUUGCUCUCGAACUAAUAUAAAAUGUUCCAUGCCUUCAUAUGAUAUCAUUAUACCCACCUACUUGAUGGAAGACGGGUGUACACAAACAUUGCUGAUGGGGAUCGACUGCCUUUCACCCUUGAACCAUCUACUCAGACGACAGAGCCGGGGGAUGGGUGGCCGUGGACGCCAACACCGGCCGGCCGGCCGGCCAUAUUCUAUGGACUACUGCUAGCCCCAGCAAUGAUACCUGUCCUGGGGCCGUUACAAUACUGAAUGGAGUCCUCUUUGCUGGCUCAGUGGCUUGUAUUGUAAUGGUCCAUUAGAUGCCAGUACUGUGGUCAUAUAACACUAGUGCUACUAUUUAUUUGUGGAGGAGCCUCUGCUAGCUAUGGCUGCAUUUUCAUUGGGCAUUCAUGGAUAUUCAGCUGGCUUGGCAAAAUUCAAUCCAACUAGGACCGGUGGAAAUUCAACCCUUGCAUUCUGUGUUUGAAGAAGAACAGGCUUAAAUAAAAUGGAGGACUAGGCACAUCGCAAUAACUUUACUUCUGUUGCUUACAAGAUAAACAUUAAACUAUACUCUUUGUUUGAGAUAUAUGACCUAUAAAUUCUGAAGUUAACACAUCACGGAUCCAUUGCUUAAAACAAAAUACACACUGUUAAGUGCUUUAACUCUCAGACAUCCUCUACAUAACCCCACAACUACAAGAGAUGGCUUUGUUCAUAUCUAUGAAACUGAAGUCGUCUUGAUCACUCUGGUCAUCAGAGUUACGUAAGAACUAAGAAUACCGCUGGAAAUUCGAUUUUUGCAUUUUGUGUCUGAACUGUAUAUGAAGAAGAAAAGCAAAUAAAUUCCUGCAAAACGUAAAUGAAUAAUUCCAAUGUUUUACAGCAGAUAAUUAGAUGAUCUAAUCUGUAGAUAUUGGCAGGUAGCACCGGGAGUUCCCCCAAACACUUCAGUGGGCUAGACUUGGAUAUUCAUGCUUAGAAGAAGAAGGCAUCUAAGAACUAAGAAGUCGGCAGUGAAGCGGUCAGGGGAAACCUGACGUUUUUCUUUCUUCCUCUUUGGGUGCACUUUUUAAUUUGUACUGCUCGUAGAUGCAAAUUAAGAACACGAUAUUAUUGACCUAUUU